CGCCGUUGCUUCCUAAACUCCUCCACCGGUGAGUGCAUCCAACUGGACCUCCCGGAACUCCUUGACCAUGAGCUGCUCGCCGUCACCCCUGAGGGCCUCCUAGUUCUGCUUUACGACCACAACCACGUCCGCCUGCUCAACCCGCUCACUCGUCACCUCACAGAGCUACCGCCGCUCACCACGCUGCUUCCCUCUAAAGACCAUGACAUGCUUUCCCAUUUCGACAUAGGCAACUUCAUAGCGACUGGCUCUGGCAUUGCUAGUGAUGACUCAACAGUGGUGCUCUGUUUCAAUAAGCUCCACACGCUUGGCAUGGCCAAGCCCGGCGACGACCACUGGAUGUUGCUGGAAUACAGAACUGAUGGGCUUACAAGAAGGCCGUUAAUGUUUGCAGGAUGCUUCUACCACGUUAACGUUGAUGGUGUCAUGGUGCUGCAAUUCCGUCCAAACAAGCCACCUCGCCUGGAGGUGGCUGCCAAGUUGAAGAUGCAUGUCUCCCCAAUUUCGGAAAGUAUGCACCUCUUCAACAAUUGUGGUGAGCUGAUGGUCAUCCGCCGUGGGAUUGUACCAUUCACGUCGCGGAAUAAUUCGGGUUUUCACCAUCGGUACAACAUGUAUCGAGUGAAUUUGGAUACCGGCACACUAUCCCGUGUCAAGAGCUUGAGUGGUGGCGCAGGAAGAGCUUUGUUCUUGGGCAUUUAUUGCUUUUUCUCGGUGUCUCCAGAGGUUUUCCCCUCUGGCUCCAUUAGCGCUGACACCAUCUACCCGAGCUUUGACUUUGCCGAGAGAAGAUUGUUAAAAAUUGGAGCAUAUCAUCUUCCGUAUGGACGCAUCGAACAACCAUCUAGCUUGGUGCAGCGGCCAUAUACUCUCGUUGACUAUCUAUCUUUGUCCAAUACGGUCGAUCAUGGGUAG
rnacentral:rRNA from 1 species